GCCCCCAGCCCUGCCCUGGAUCCCAUCCCACAGCUGCCCUCCAGCCCUGGGGACUGUGCACUAAAGAAGAAAGAUGUCUGCAAUCUGGCUCUAUCACCAUUAACCCCUCAAAAGGCUCACUGCUAUCCCAAAAAUGUCCCUUGUGCUGCUGAGGCCCUGGUAAUUAAUGUCCCGGAGAGCACACUGCAUUCCAUGGCCUUACAGCACCACCCCUGGUUUCUGAGCUUUCUCACCUUCAGAAUGACAUUUUAUUUUUGACAAUACAUCCCCUUUCUAUAUCCUCCCUUCCUCUGCUUUACCCCGUCAUCUAGAGGAGACACUAAGUUGUACAAAUAUUUCAGAAACUUACUGGGAAUGUGGCCUGCCAGAAGCCUUUCUCUCCCUGCCCUCCACCACAUGUCUCAGAUUGAGCUGCCAACAUUACAUGGAAAAUGUUGGAGAGGAAGGAAAUGAUCCCUUUCAAUUUCUGCCAUUGCAUUUCUCUUGAUUCCCUGGGGCUUUAUGGGUGCAAAUUGUAGUCAAGGCAAGAAGGGGAGCAUGCUAUCUGACUUCAGGCAGUGAAACCGAGGUAUUUUAACUCUACUCUGUCCAUGCCAGUUAUGAGCCAUGCUUGAAAUUCUCUUUACACAUUUUGAAGUACUGGCCCAAAAUUCAAAUCAAAGAUCUCGUGGACUCUGAAACUUCUGCUGGUAAUGUGCUGAUAUGGUGAUGAUAGAUGGAAGAUGGACAUAUGACUUCAAGAAUAUCCAAGCCAUCUUAUCAAAGAGAAACUUUGUCUCUUGCUUUCUCCAAAGCACCUCUUGAUUGUGGACUGAGCAGACUUCUUUGCUGAGGCAAAGUUUUGACUAAUAA